rnacentral:tRNA from 1 species
ACCGAAAUAGCUCAGUUGGGAGGGGAGAACGUUAGACUAUAGAUCGAAAAGUUCCUGGUUCGAUCCCAGGUUCCAGCA